CGGCGGCCCAAGUGGUGGCCGCUAUUAUUGGGCCUAAAGCGUCCGUAGCCGGGCCCGUAAGUCCCUGGCGAAAUCCCACGGCUCAACCGUGGGGCUUGCUGGGGAUACUGCGGGCCUUGGGACCGGGAGAGGCCGGGGGUACCCCUGGGGUAGGGGUGAAAUCCUAUAAUCCCAGGGGGACCGCCAGUGGCGAAGGCGCCCGGCUGGAACGGGUCCGACGGUGAGGGACGAAGGCCAGGGGAGCGAACCGGAUUAGAUACCCCAGUAGUCC
rnacentral:rRNA from 1 species